rnacentral:rRNA from 1 species
AGCCCGAAGUAGCAAUACGGAAAGUACACGAGUGGCGCACGGGUGCGUAACGCGUAUGUAAUCUGCCCUUGACCGGAACAAAACAGCUGGAAACGGCUGCUAAUAUUCCAUGGUCAUUUUCGGAGGCAUCUCUGGGGAUGUAAAGAUUUAUUGGUCAAGGAUGAGCAUGCGUAUUAUUAGAUAGUUGGUGGGGUAACGGCCCACCAAGUCGACGAUGAUUAGGGGUUCUGAGAGGAUUAACCCCCACACUGGAACUGAGACACGGUCCAGACUCCUACGGGAGGCAGCAGUAGGGAAUAUUGGGCAAUGGAAGGAAUUCUGACCCAGCCAUGCCGCGUGAAGGAAGACGGUCCUAUGGAUUGUAAACUUCUUUUAUCGCAGAGUAAAUUGGGGCACGUGUGCCCCAUUGAGAGUAUGCGAUGAAUAAGUAUCGGCUAACUCCGUGCCAGCAGCCGCGGUAAUACGGAGGAUACGAGCGUUAUCCGGAUUUAUUGGGUUUAAAGGGUGCGCAGGCGGAUCGGUAAGUCAGGGGUGAAAAGUUCGUGCUUAACAUGAAUCGUGCCUUUGAUACUGCCGGACUAGAGUGCAAUAGACGUGGGCGGAAUGUGAUGUGUAGCGGUGAAAUGCUUAGAUAUGUCACAGAACACCGAUCGAGAAGUCAGCUCACGAGUUUGCAACUGACGCUCAUGCACGAAAGCGUGGGGAUCAAACAGGAUUAGAUACCCUGGUAGUCCACGCUGUAAACGAUGAUCACUCGUUGUUGGCCGGCGACGGUCAGUGGCCAAGCGAAAGCGAUAAGUGAUCCACCUGGGGAGUACGAUCGCAAGGUUGAAACUCAAAGGAAUUGACGGGGGCCCGCACAAGCGGAGGAGCAUGUGGUUUAAUUCGAUGUUACGCGAGGAACCUUACCCGGGCUUGAACGUAAGACGACGACGCAGGAGACUGCGUUUCCUUCGGGCGUUUUGCGAGGUGCUGCAUGGUUGUCGUCAGCUCGUGCCGUGAGGUGUUAGGUUAAGUCCUGCAACGAGCGCAACCCUUACUUUUAGUUGCCAGCAUGUAAAGAUGGGGACUCU